rnacentral:rRNA from 1 species
CAGUAGCCGCGGGAAUACGUAGGGUGCGAGCGUUAAUCGGAAUUACUGGGCGUAAAGCGUGCGCAGGCGGUUGUGCAAGACAGAUGUGAAAUCCCCGAGCUUAACUUGGGAACUGCAUUUGUGACUGCACGGCUAGAGUGUGUCAGAGGGGGGUAGAAUUCCACGUGUAGCAGUGAAAUGCGUAGAUAUGUGGAGGAAUACCGAUGGCGAAGGCAGCCCCCUGGGAUAACACUGACGCUCAUGCACGAAAGCGUGGGGAGCAAACAGGAUUAGAUACCCCUGUAGUCCCUGUCUCUUAUAC